UGGGGAAUCUUAGACAAUGGGGGAAACCCUGAUCUAGCCAUGCCGCGUGAUCGAUGAAGGCCUUAGGGUUGUAAAGAUCUUUCAGUGGGGAAGAUAAUGACUGUACCCACAGAAGAAGCCCCGGCUAACUCCGUGCCAGCAGCCGCGGUAAUACGGCGGGGGCUAGCGUUGUUCGGAAUUACUGGGCGUAAAGCGCACGUAGGCGGGACAGAAAGUCAGAGGUGAAAUCCCAGGGCUCAACCUUGGAACUGCCUUUGAAACUCCUGUUCUUGAGGUCGAGAGAGGUGAGUGGAAUUCCGAGUGUAGAGGUGAAAUUCGUAGAUAUGCGGAGGAACACCAGUGGCGAAGGCGGCUCACUGGCUCGAUACUGACGCUGAGGUACGAAAGCGUGGGGAGCAAACA
rnacentral:rRNA from 1 species